AUUGUAGUCAUAUGCUUGUCUCAAAGAUUAAGCCAUGCAUGUCUAAGUAUAUACCUUUAUACGGUGAAACUGCGAAUGGCUCAUUAUAUCAGUUAUAAUUUACUUGAUGAUUUCUUUACUACAUGGAUAACCGUGGUAAUUCUAGAGCUAAUACAUGCAAAAAGCCCGACUUCUGGAAGGGUUGUAUUUAUUAGAUAAAAACCAAUGCCGGCAACGGCCUUUGGUGAGUCAUGAUAACUGCGCGGAUCGCAUGGCCUCGUGCUGGCGGUGCUUCAUUCAAAUAUCUGCCCUAUCAACUGUCGAUGGUAGGAUAGAGGCCUACCAUGGUUGCAACGGGUAACGGGGAAUAAU
rnacentral:rRNA from 1 species